ACAUGCUUACAACAUAAUGUUAAUGCACCGAAUCCCAUUAGAACUCUAUAGUUAAGCGUGCUUGGGAUAGAGUAGUACUAGGAUGGGCCAGUCUAGCAAGCUUGUUUCUGCUGCAUUUU
rnacentral:rRNA from 1 species